UACGUAGGGUCCGAGCGUUGUCCGGAAUUACUGGGCGUAAAGAGCUCGUAGGUGGUUUGUCGCGUUGUUCGUGAAAACUCACAGCUCAACUGUGGGCGUGCGGGCGAUACGGGCAGACUAGAGUACUGCAGGGGAGACUGGAAUUCCUGGUGUAGCGGUGGAAUGCGCAGAUAUCAGGAGGAACACCGGUGGCGAAGGCGGGUCUCUGGGCAGUAACUGACGCUGAGGAGCGAAAGCGCGGGGAGCGAACAGG
rnacentral:rRNA from 1 species